GCUAUUUGGGGUUCCCAUCUUCUCCCAAAUAUGUAUAUAAAAAAGAACUUGAUAGUUAUUUAUAGAUAUGCAUUCAUUUGAAUUUUGAAUUAUCAACGUUUGUUAUAUAUUUUGUAUCAUAUAGGACUCUUCUAGGUAUAGAGUUUGUAUUCUCGUAGGAGGUAACUGCAUCGGUUCUUCUAUUUUUUGUAUAUAUAAAAGAGAACCUUGCUCUUUCAUUAUCUGAAUAAGAUCGAUCCUCUGUUUUACCACAUUUAUCAUGGUGUCAGAGUGUUAGUAAACAAUAACAAAAUAAUGACAGGAAACAAUGGAGAAGCUGCCUGUUCUCCAUACACGCUGCAACCAACUGAUAAUCCUGGAGUGUCUCUUGUCACAUCUUUGCUCACACAAGAUAACUAUUCGACGUGGAGGAGGGCCAUGAGGAAUGCCUUGUUGACUAAAUAAAAUUUAUGCUUCGUUGGUGGCAGUCUUCAGCGACCCACAACAAGCUCUACUAAUGAAGCUGCCUGGAUAGGGGAAUUCCAUGGUAAUACCUUGGAUUUUCAACUCUCUUAAUCCCUCCCUUCACAGUAGUGUAGCUUUUUUUGAUACGGCAGGUGAACUUUGGAAAGAUUUGGAGGAGCGAUUUUCACGAGGGAAUGCUCCACGAGUUCACUAGUUGAAGAUAGAGAUGGUAAAUACACAACACCAUGAUCAAAUAAUGAGUGUUUACUACAUAAAAUUGAAGGGAUUAUGGGAUGAGUACGAAUCAUAUUCUCAAUUAACAAAUUGCAGUUGUGGUGCUAUUAAGGAAUACAUAGCAGAAAGGGAAACAGAAAAGGUUUAUCAAUUUCAUAUGGGAUUGAAUGACAAAGUUAAUGUUGUUUGAUCUCAGAUCUUUAAUACUCCAUUACCAACUCCUGCUCGUGUGUAUGAACUAGUUUCACAGGAAUAACGACACAACAACUCACUACAAACAAAGAAAAUAAUUUAUUGGAGGGGACGACAUUUGUUUCAAAGAGCAACACCAAGACUUUACACUCUCGUCAAUUGCCUGGUAAUCUUGACGUCUCAAAACUAUUUUGUGAGCACUCCAAAUGGUAGAGGCACACCAAGGAAAAAUGUUUUGAACUAUAUGGCUAUCUAGAUUGGUGGGAAAACAAUAGAAAAUGAAAGGGACUUAGCCACGAGGAAGCUGAUUGGCAUGGGUAAACCGAAUAAUAGCCUUUAUUAUUUUCAAAGCCAAGCGCUAGUUUUAACUCUUUUGUCAAAAAAGGACCAAACAGUUUUGUCGCAUCAACGUCUAAGUCAUGUAUCUUUUAGUCAUUUGUCUUUCAUCUCAAUACUUUAAUUUUUUAAUUUAAUAAGUUAGAUGACUAUUGUGAUGCUUUCCAUCUAGCUAAGCAAAUUCGGAAGUCAUUUCCUAUUAGUUCUAUUAAAUCUAAAGAAGUUUUUGAUUUGAUUCAUUGUGA